ACACUCAGUUCAUUUGCUAAAUUUCACUCUCCAAAUUCUCUCAACUCUCUCUCAACUUUUCUCAAGGACACCAAGAACAUUCAUAGAAAUUUCAAGAACAAAAAUCCCCAAAUUCAUCAAAACUUCUUCUCUCUUCCUCCUUCAAACUUUCGAUCUACUACCUCCACCUCUAAACACAUCAUCACUGGAAGUCAUCGACCGACCUCCUCAGAUCACCAACAUCUCGCUGCCAAGAUCCGCCGACCGAUUUCCCCUCCCAACACUAAUUUCCUGCGCGAUGCUCACGAGGUCCAUUUCCGUCUCGCCGGAUUCAUACUUUGGUAUCUUCUUUAGGGUCAUCACCAAGUCUCUUGAAACUCCUCUUCGCACUUUCGAUAAUUCAUCUUAA